rnacentral:rRNA from 1 species
GACGUAGGGCGCGAGCGUUGUCCGGAUUUAUUGGGCGUAAAGAGCUCGUAGGCGGCUUGUUGCGUCGACCGUGAAAACCCGGGGCUCAACUUCGGGCUUGCGGUCGAUACGGGCGGCUAGAGUUCGGUAGGGGAGACUGGAAUUCCUGGUGUAGCGGUGAAAUGCGCAGAUAUCAGGAGGAACACCGGUGGCGAAGGCGGGUCUCUGGGCCGAUACUGACGCUGAGGAGCGAAAGCGUGGGGAGCGAACAGG